rnacentral:rRNA from 1 species
UACAGAGGUCUCAAGCGUUGUUCGGAUUCAUUGGGCGUAAAGGGUGCGUAGGUGGCGCGCUAAGUCGGGUGUGAAAUUUCGGAGCUUAACUCCGAAACUGCAUUCGAUACUGGCGUGCUUGAGGACUGGAGAGGAGACUGGAAUUCAUGGUGUAGCAGUGAAAUGCGUAGAGAUCAUGAGGAAGACCAGUGGCGAAGGCGGGUCUCGGGACAGUUCCCGACACUGAGGCACGAAGUCCAGGGGAGCAAACGGG